GAAACAGGAAAAUGAAUGUUCACGUUCCUAAGGCGUACGACCUGACCCCUACCGGCAAGCAGGAGCAUCGCUUCAGAUGAUUCCUCUCAGGCUUAUGGAGCCGAUUGCUGUCUUUACUUCAUAGCCAUCUACAGUAACGGCCAGGAAACAGGGUAUCUCUCUGUGUAUUUGGGAACUUGCGUCCUCCCACCCACCCACAGACGCCUCGGGCCAAUCGUACCAAGUUAGUGCUGCCACUGGUGGCCAAUUUUCACUAGGACGUUUUCCACUUUCCACAAUUGCUUCACAAGUUUUACACUUUAGUACGAAACGUCUUAGUGAAACCAAAACAUCAAAUCUAACAGCUCAUGAAUCAGUAAGUUAGACUUGACCAUAUGUUUCAUACCAUACUGGUUGCAGUUGGAAUAUCUUGAAAUAAAUUGCAUCCAAUCAUUUGAAAGGAUUAUUUAUCUGAAAUUAAUGGAAGUUCCCGAUAGGGUCCGGCCUGGUCGCCAAUUCGCCAUGGAAUCUCGGAAACCGUUUGUCCUUACGGCAAAGCUGACAACGUAUCCAUGUAGGAUGAAGACGAAGUGUGAAGUAAUCAUCCCCGCUUCACCCCGCCUUCCCAUUUUUGUCAAAAUCGGCCAAAAACGACAUCUCUUGAAAUUAUCCAAAAUAACACGGCAUAAUCGAAAUUGAACGCUGAUUUCGAAUUAGUCAUUGGUUUUCUCGAUAAACAAGC